UUAUGACUCAUAUUUAAAGUAGCCUAAGAAAUGUUUUGAGGAAAAAACAGUUGUGAUAGGAUUUACAACUUUCUUUUUAUCAUAUGAAAAAUUGCCUGCCAGAGGGUUUUGUUAAACAAUUACUACUUUUUACAGCACUCUGCAAUUCUAACAUGGGAGUAUUGCCUUCCUUAAAACCAGAUAGCAGAGGCUUGUCCUGCACAUAAACACCCGGAAUGAAUUCCAACACUUUCUUAUCUUUGACACGGCCUUGAUGAACGAAAAUGAAUGCAAAGAACCACCAAUGUACUGGACAAUCCAUGGAUUCUGGCCCGAUAAAGCUGCAGAAUGUAAUAGAAGUUGGCACUUCAAUAUAUCUGAACUUAAGGAUUUUAUGGAAGACAUGAACGAAUAUUGGCCAGAUAUACUACAUACAAACCAUACUUAUUUAUGGAGACAUGAAUGGGAAAAACAUGGGACAU